rnacentral:rRNA from 1 species
AUUGAACGCUGGCGGCAGGCCUACCACAUGCAAGUCGAGCGAGCGGCGGACGGGUGAGUAAUGUCUGGGAAACUGCCUGAUGGAGGGGGAUAACUACUGGAAACGGUAGCUAAUACCGCAUACCAUCGGAUGUGCCCAGAUGGGAUUAGCUAGUAGGUGGGGUAACGGCUCACCUAGGCGACGAUCCCUAGCUGGUCUGAUAGGCUGACCAGCCACACUGGAACUUGGACACGGUCCCGACUCCUACGGGAGGCAGCAGUGGGGAAUAUUGCACAAGGGGCGCAAGCCUGAUGCAGCCAUGCCGCGUGUAUGAAGAAGGCCUUCGGGUUGUAAAGUACUUUCAGCGGGGAGGCGUUACCCGCAGAAGAAGCACCGGCUAACUCCGUGCCAGCAGCCGCGGUAAUAC